rnacentral:rRNA from 1 species
GUCCACAACCAUACCGCCCUGAGUGCACAUGGUCUCAAGCUAAGCAGGGUCAGGCCUUGUUAAUGCUUGGAUUGGAGAUGUACACA